rnacentral:rRNA from 1 species
GAUGAACGCUGGCGGCGUGCCUAAUACAUGCAAGUCGAGCGAACAGACGAGGAGCUUGCUCCUCUGCCGUUAGCGGCGGACGGGUGAGUAACACGUGGAUAACCGACCUAUAAGACUGGGAUAACUUCGGGAAACCGGAGCUAAUACCGGAUAAUAUAUUGAACCGCAUGGUUCAAUAGUGAAAGACGGUUUUGGUGUCACUUAUAGAUGUGUCCGCGCCGCAUUAGCUAGUUGGUAAGGUAACGGCUUACCAAGGCAACGAUGCGUAGCCGACCUGAGAGGGUGAUCGGCCACACUGGAACUGAGACACGGUCCAGACUCCUACGGGAGGCAGCAGUAGGGAAUCUUCCGCAAUGGGCGAAAGCCUGACGGAGCAACGCCGCGUGAGUGAUGAAGGUCUUCGGAUCGUAAAACUCUGUUAUUAGGGAAGAACAAAUGUGUAAGUAACUAUGCACGUCUUGACGGUACCUAAUCAGAAAGCCACGGCUAACUACGUG